rnacentral:rRNA from 1 species
CCGGCGAUGUCCGAAUGGGGAAACCCAGUGCAAUUCGUUGCACUAUCGUUAACUGAAUACAUAGGUUAACGAGGCGAACCGGGGGAACUGAAACAUCUAAGUACCCCGAGGAAAAGAAAUCAACCGAGAUUCCCCCAGUAGCGGCGAGCGAACGGGGAGCAGCCCAGAGUCUGAAUCAGCUUGUGUGUUAGUGGAACGGUCUGGAAAGUCCGACGGUACAGGGUGAUAGUCCCGUACACCAAAAUGCACAGGCUGUGAACUCGAAGAGUAGGGCGGGACACGUGGUAUCCUGUCUGAAUAUGGGGGGACCAUCCUCCAAGGCUAAAUACUCCUGACUGACCGAUAGUGAACCAGUACCGUGAGGGAAAGGCGAAAAGAACCCCGGCGAGGGGAGUGAAAAAGAACCUGAAACCGUGUACGUACAAGCAGUGGGAGCACCUUCGGGUGUGACUGCGUACCUUUUGUAUAAUGGGUCAGCGACUUAUAUUCUGUAGCAAGGUUAACCGUAUAGGGGAGCCGCAGGGAAACCGAGUCUUAACUGGGCGUUAAGUUGCAGGGUAUAGACCCGAAACCCGGUGAUCUAGCCAUGGGCAGGUUGAAGGUUGGGUAACACUAACUGGAGGACCGAACCGACUAAUGUUGAAAAAUUAGCGGAUGACUUGUGGCUGGGGGUGAAAGGCCAAUCAAACCGGGAGAUAGCUGGUUCUCCCCGAAAGCUAUUUAGGUAGCGCCUCGUGAAUUCAUCUUCGGGGGUAGAGCACUGUUUCGGCUAGGGGGUCAUCCCGACUUACCAACCCGAUGCAAACUACGAAUACCGAAGAAUGUUAUCACGGGAGACACACGGCGGGUGCUAACGUCCGUCGUGAAGAGGGAAACAACCCAGACCGCCAGCUAAGGUCCCAAAGUCAUGGUUAAGUGGGAAACGAUGUGGGAAGGCACAGACAGCCAGGAUGUUGGCUUAGAAGCAGCCAUCAUUUAAAGAAAGCGUAAUAGCUCACUGGUCGAGUCGGCCUGCGCGGAAGAUGUAACGGGGCUAAACCAUGCACCGAAGCUGCGGCAGCGACACUAUGUGUUGUUGGGUAGGGGAGCGUUCUGUAAGCCUGCGAAGGUGUGCUGUGAGGCAUGCUGGAGGUAUCAGAAGUGCGAAUGCUGACAUAAGUAACGAUAAAGCGGGUGAAAAGCCCGCUCGCCGGAAGACCAAGGGUUCCUGUCCAACGUUAAUCGGGGCAGGGUGAGUCGACCCCUAAGGCGAGGCCGAAAGGCGUAGUCGAUGGGAAACAGGUUAAUAUUCCUGUACUUGGUGUUACUGCGAAGGGGGGACGGAGAAGGCUAUGUUAGCCGGGCGACGGUUGUCCCGGUUUAAGCAUGUAGGCUGGUUAUCCAGGCAAAUCCGGAUAAUCAAGGCUGAGGUGUGAUGACGAGGCACUACGGUGCUGAAGUAACAAAUGCCCUGCUUCCAGGAAAAGCCUCUAAGCAUCAGGUAACAUUAAAUCGUACCCCAAACCGACACAGGUGGUCAGGUAGAGAAUACCAAGGCGCUUGAGAGAACUCGGGUGAAGGAACUAGGCAAAAUGGUGCCGUAACUUCGGGAGAAGGCACGCUGGUGUGUAGGUGAAGUCCCUGCGGAUGGAGCUGAGACCAGUCGAAGAUACCAGCUGGCUGCAACUGUUUAUUAAAAACACAGCACUGUGCAAACACGAAAGUGGACGUAUACGGUGUGACGCCUGCCCGGUGCCGGAAGGUUAAUUGAUGGGGUUAUCCGUAAGGAGAAGCUCUUGAUCGAAGCCCCGGUAAACGGCGGCCGUAACUAUAACGGUCCUAAGGUAGCGAAAUUCCUUGUCGGGUAAGUUCCGACCUGCACGAAUGGCGUAAUGAUGGCCAGGCUGUCUCCACCCGAGACUCAGUGAAAUUGAACUCGCUGUGAAGAUGCAGUGUACCCGCGGCAAGACGGAAAGACCCCGUGAACCUUUACUAUAGCUUGACACUGAACAUUGAGCCUUGAUGUGUAGGAUAGGUGGGAGGCUUUGAAGCGUGGACGCCAGUCUGCGUGGAGCCGACCUUGAAAUACCACCCUUUAAUGUUUGAUGUUCUAACGUUGGCCCCUUACCGGGGUUGCGGACAGUGUCUGGUGGGUAGUUUGACUGGGGCGGUCUCCUCCCAAAGCGUAACGGAGGAGCACGAAGGUUAGCUAAUCCUGGUCGGACAUCAGGAGGUUAGUGCAAUGGCAUAAGCUAGCUUGACUGCGAGCGUGACGGCGCGAGCAGGUGCGAAAGCAGGUCAUAGUGAUCCGGUGGUUCUGAAUGGAAGGGCCAUCGCUCAACGGAUAAAAGGUACUCCGGGGAUAACAGGCUGAUACCGCCCAAGAGUUCAUAUCGACGGCGGUGUUUGGCACCUCGAUGUCGGCUCAUCACAUCCUGGGGCUGAAGUAGGUCCCAAGGGUAUGGCUGUUCGCCAUUUAAAGUGGUACGCGAGCUGGGUUUAGAACGUCGUGAGACAGUUCGGUCCCUAUCUGCCGUGGGCGCUGGAGAAUUGAGGGGGGCUGCUCCUAGUACGAGAGGACCGGAGUGGACGCAUCACUGGUGUUCGGGUUGUCAUGCCAAUGGCACUGCCCGGUAGCUAAAUGCGGAAGAGAUAAGUGCUGAAAGCAUCUAAGCACGAAACUUGCCCCGAGAUGAGUUCUCCCUGAGACUUUAAGUCUCCUGAAGGAACGUU